GUUAAACUAAUAUUAGUAGCAUUGUACUAAUAUUAGUAGAAUUGGAGGGCAAGUCUGGUGCUAGCAACUGCGGUAAUUCCAGCUCCAA
ncrna:Nicotiana tabacum cultivar TN90 Ntab-TN90_scaffold1654, whole genome shotgun sequence